rnacentral:rRNA from 1 species
GGACGAUAAUGACGGUACUAGAGGAGGAAGCCACGGCUAACUACGUGCCAGCAGCCGCGGUAAUACGUAGGUGGCGAGCGUUGUCCGGAUUUACUGGGCGUAAAGGGUGCGUAGGCGGAUGUUUAAGUGGGAUGUGAAAUCCCCGGGCUUAACCUGGGGGCUGCAUUCCAAACUGGAUAUCUAGAGUGCAGGAGAGGAAAGCGGAAUUCCUAGUGUAGCGGUGAAAUGCGUAGAGAUUAGGAAGAACACCAGUGGCGAAGGCGGCUUUCUGGACUGUAACUGACGCUGAGGCACGAAAGCGUGGGUAGCAAACAGGAUUAGAUACCCUGGUAGUCCACGCCGUAAACGAUGGAUACUAGGUGUAGGGGGUAUCAACUCCCCCUGUGCCGCAGUUAACACAAUAAGUAUCCCGCCUGGGGAGUACGGUCGCAAGAUUAAAACUCAAAGGAAUUGACGGGGGCCCGCACAAGCAGCGGAGCAUGUGGUUUAAUUCGAAGCAACGCGAAGAACCUUACCUGGACUUGACAUCCCUUGCAUAGCCUAGAG